AUUGAACGCUGGCGGCAGGCCUAACACAUGCAAGUCGAACGAGUGGCGGACGGGUGAGUAAUGUCUGGGAAACUGCCUGCUGGAGGGGGAUAACUACUGGAAACGGUAGCUAAUACCGCAUACCAUCGGAUGUGCCCCGAUGGGAUUAGCUAGUAGGUGGGGGAAAGGCUCACCUAGGCGACGAUCCCUAGCUGGUCUGAGAGGCUGACGAGCCACACUGGAAAUGAGAAACGGUACAGACUCCUACGGGAGGCAGCAGGGGGGAAUAUGGCACAAUGGGCGCAAGCCUGAGGCAGCCAUGCCGCGUGUAUGAAGAAGGCCUUCGGGUUGUAAAGUACUUGCAGCGGGGAGGCGUUACCCGCAGAAGAAGCACCGGCUAACUCCGUGCCAGCAGCCGCGGUAAUUC
rnacentral:rRNA from 1 species